GUGAGGAAUAUUGGUCAAUGGACGGAAGUCUGAACCAGCCAAGUAGCGUGCAGGAUGACGGCCCUAUGGGUUGUAAACUGCUUUUAUGCGGGGGUAAAGUGAGUGACGUGUCAUUCAUUGCAAGUACCGCAAGAAUAAGGACCGACUAAUUCCGUGCCAGCAGCCGCGGUAAUACGGAAGGUCCUGGUGUUAUCCGGAUUUAUUGGGUUUAAAGGGAGCGUAGGCCGUCAGGCAAGCGUGUUGUGAAAUGUCGUGGCUCAACCAUGGACUUGCAGCGCGAACUGCCCGACUUGAGUGCGCGGAAAGCAGGCGGAAUUUGUGGUGUAGCGGUGAAAUGCUUAGAUAUCACGAAGAACCCCGAUUGCGAAGGCAGCCUGCUGUAGCGCUACUGACGCUGAAGCUCGAAAGUGCGGGUAUCGAACAGGAUUAGAAACCCGGGUAGUCC
rnacentral:rRNA from 1 species